CCCUCUCCUUUCCUCUGUCUCUAAAAUCAAUAAAAACAAAUCUUAUAAAAAUAUGACAGAAAUGUGAGGCAAUAUGGAGAAUAAGUAUUUACACAUUUUAUUUGCAUCUC